rnacentral:sRNA from 1 species
GCCUAGCCCCGAUUGAAGUGGAAAUCCUUUUAUUUUUUUCUUAAAAAAUAAAAGAUUGAAACGAAAAGCGGGAACAAUG